rnacentral:rRNA from 1 species
GAUGGGCGAAAGCCUGACGGAGCAACGCCGCGUGAGGGAUGAAGGCCUCUGGGCUGUAAACCUCUUUUAUCAAGGAAGAAGAUUACGGUACUUGAUGAAUAAGCCACGGCUAAUUCCGUGCCAGCAGCCGCGGUAAUACGGGAGUGGCAAGCGUUAUCCGGAAUUAUUGGGCGUAAAGCGUCCGCAGGCGGCCCUUCAAGUCUGCUGUUAAA